rnacentral:rRNA from 1 species
AUUGAACGCUGGCGGAAUGCUUUACACAUGCAAGUCGAACGGCAGGCACGGGGCAACCUGGUGGCGAGUGGCGAACGGGUGAGUAAUACAUCGGAACGUGCCCAAUCGUGGGGGAUAACGUAGCGAAAGUUACGCUAAUACCGCAUACGAUCUACGGAUGAAAGCGGGGGAUCGCAAGACCUCGCGCGGACGGAGCGGCCGAUGGCAGAUUAGGUAGUUGGUGGGAUAAAAGCUUACCAAGCCGACGAUCUGUAGCUGGUCUGAGAGGACGACCAGCCACACUGGGACUGAGACACGGCCCAGACUCCUACGGGAGGCAGCAGUGGGGAAUUUUGGACAAUGGGGGAAACCCUGAUCCAGCCAUGCCGCGUGCAGGAUGAAGGCCUUCGGGUUGUAAACUGCUUUUGUACGGAACGAAAAGACUCUUUCUAAUACAGAGGGUCCAUGACGGUACCGUAAGAAUAAGCACCGGCUAACUACGUG